ensembl:miRNA sha-mir-1549 sha-mir-1549
GUGUUUACGAAAAAAGACUCGUUUUGUGAGGAUUCGAGGCCAUCUAACGGCUUGUUGCUAGGUAGCCGGGCUCGUGGGUAGGAGCUGCGUUCACUUCUGCUUCCGCCCUGCAAGCCCGGUAGCUGGUAACAAAUUCGCUGCGUGUAGGCC